rnacentral:rRNA from 1 species
CUCCUACGGGAGGCAGCAGUAAGGAAUAUUGGUCAAUGGACGCAAGUCUGAACCAGCCAUGCCGCGUGCAGGAAGACGGCCCUAUGGGUUGUAAACUGCUUUUAUACGGGAAUAAACCUCUUUACGUGUAGAGAGUUGAAUGUACUGUAAGAAUAAGGAUCGGCUAACUCCGUGCCAGCAGCCGCGGUAAUACGGAGGAUCCAAGCGUUAUCCGGAUUUAUUGGGUUUAAAGGGUGCGUAGGUGGUUCUUUAAGUCAGGGGUGAAAGACGGCAGCUUAACUGUCGCAGUGCCUUUGAUACUGAAGAACUUGAAUACACUAGAGGUAGGCGGAAUGUGACAAGUAGCGGUGAAAUGAAUAGAUAUGUCACAGAACACCAAUUGCGAAGGCAGCUUACUAUGGUGUCAUUGACACUGAGGCACGAAAGCGUGGGGAUCAAACAGGAUUAGAUACCCUGGUAGUCCACGCCCUAAACGAUGAAUACUCGAUGUUGGCGAUAUACAGUCAGCGUCUAAGCGAAAGCGUUAAGUAUUCCACCUGGGGAGUACGCCCGCAAGGGUGAAACUCAAAGGAAUUGACGGGGGCCCGCACAAGCGGGGGAGCAUGUGGUUUAAUUCGAUGAUACGCGAGGAACCUUACCCGGGCUUGAAAGUUAGUGAAUAAAGCAGAGACGCUUUAGUCCUUCGGGACACGAAACUA